UACAGAGGUCUCAAGCGUUGUUCGGAUUCAUUGGGCGUAAAGGGUGCGUAGGCGGCGGGGUAAGUCUGAUGUGAAAUCCCGGGGCUCAACCCCGGAACUGCAUUGGAUACUGCCCUGCUUGAGUACUGGAGAGGAGACUGGAAUUUACGGUGUAGCAGUGAAAUGCGUAGAGAUCGUAAGGAAGACCAGUGGCGAAGGCGAGUCUCUGGACAGUUACUGACGCUGAGGCACGAAGGCCAGGGGAGCAAACGGG
rnacentral:rRNA from 1 species